rnacentral:rRNA from 1 species
AUGGAUAUCCUCGUCUCUGCAAUACUAGGUGACCUCGUCAGUAGGUCAGCGUCAUUUGUGAUCAGCAAAUACUUCCAGCAGCAGCCUGGCAUCGGCAAGAUUCUCCAGAGGCUACAGAGUGUCCUACUGAGAAUCGACAUCAUCGUCGAGGAGGCCGAGGCGCGGCACAUCACCAACCAGGGGAUGCUCCGUCAGCUCAAGAUGUUGCGGUAA